rnacentral:rRNA from 1 species
AACGCUGGCGGCGUGCCUAAGACAUGCAAGUCGUGCGGGCCGCGGGGUUUUACUCCGUGGUCAGCGGCGGACGGGUGAGUAACGCGUGGGUGACCUACCCGGAAGAGGGGGACAACCCGGGGAAACUCGGGCUAAUCCCCCAUGUGGACCCGCCCCUUGGGGUGUGUCCAAAGGGCUUUGCCCGCUUCCGGAUGGGCCCGCGUCCCAUCAGCUAGUUGGUGGGGUAAUGGCCCACCAAGGCGACGACGGGUAGCCGGUCUGAGAGGAUGGCCGGCCACAGGGGCACUGAGACACGGGCCCCACUCC